GACAGCAGUCGCCGCGGUAAUACGGAGGGUGCAAGCGUUAUCCGGAUUUAUUGGGUUUAAAGGGUCCGUAGGCGGACUUAUAAGUCAGUGGUGAAAGCCCAUCGCUCAACGGUGGAACGGCCAUUGAUACUGCAGGACUUGAAUUAUUGGGAAGUAACUAGAAUAUGUAGUGUAGCGGUGAAAUGCUUAGAGAUUACAUGGAAUACCAAUUGCGAAGGCAGGUUACUACCAAUUGAUUGACGCUGAUGGACGAAAGCGUGGGUAGCGAACAGGAUUAGAUACCCGUGUAGUCCCUGUCUCUUAUAA
rnacentral:rRNA from 1 species